AAUCUGUUCACGCAGUUCAAACAAUAAAAUUGGAACGAUACAGAGAAGAUUAGCAUGGUCUACGCGCAGACACGACUCACAGAAUCGUGAAGCGUUUUCAAAUAAA